UACGUAGGGUGCAAGCGUUGUCCGGAAUUAUUGGGCGUAAAGAGCUCGUAGGCGGUCUGUCGCGUCGGACGUGAAAACCCGGGGCUUAACCCCGGGCCUGCAUUCGAUACGGGCAGACUCGAGUGUGGUAGGGGAGACUGGAACUCCUGGUGUAGCGGUGAAAUGCGCAGAUAUCAGGAAGAACACCGGUGGCGAAGGCGGGUCUCUGGGCCACUACUGACGCUGAGGAGCGAAAGCGUGGGGAGCGAACAGG
rnacentral:rRNA from 1 species